rnacentral:rRNA from 1 species
AACGAACGCUGGCGGCAGGCCUAACACAUGCAAGUCGAGCGCACUCUUCGGAGUGAGCGGCGGACGGGUGAGUAGCGCGUGGGAAUAUGCCCUUCUCUACGGAAUAGCCUCGGGAAACUGAGAGUAAUACCGCAUACGUCCUCCGGGAGAAAGAUUUAUCGGAGAAGGAUUAGCCCGCGUUAGAUUAGAUAGUUGGUGGGGUAAUGGCCUACCAAGUCUACGAUCUAUAGCUGGUUUUAGAGGAUGAUCAGCCACACUGGGACUGAGACACGGCCCAG